GGCCCCAUCGUCUAGUGGUCUAGGACACCAGGUUCUCAUCCUGGAAACCGGGGUUCGAGUCCCCGUGGGGUCACCC
rnacentral:tRNA from 1 species